rnacentral:lncRNA from 1 species
GAGCUGGAAGAGGUCUGCCUACAAAUACCUGUCACUCCUGUCCCAACACUGAUAGAACCAUCGGAGGAGUACUGGCGAGUGUUCUGUGUCAUGGGCACAUUCCUCGGGGGGGGAGGGGCAAGCCAAGUGCCGGAGCCCACCCAGGGACCAAGUGGAUGUGGAGGUCUUUCAGGCCCUGCAAGGGGGUGAUCAGUAGAGUGUUUCCAAACAGAAGCAAGAGGCCAGUCACACACAGGCAGAACAUUUGCUGAAAUGUGGAAUGAGACAUCGGGAGGUCCGGAUUCCCGGGGAGUCGCUGAUCUUCAGUGUGCACUGGAAUCCUGAAGAAGUUGUUUCCAUUACCAGUGAAAGAGCUCCUCAGCGACAGGGUAGAUGAACUUGCCACUGAGAGUGAGGACAAGCAAGGCAAAAAGCAAAGGUUUCCUUCUUCUGUGUCCUUUUCUGUGAACUGCAGCCAGGCGCUGCCUGAAUUUAGUGUGGGUCUUCCUGCUCAAAGAAUCAGAUGAAGAAAAUUCCUUAGAGGAGUGCCCAGCAUCUUGGGUUUCAGUUACCUUCUGUGAGAAACCCUGUCUUGAAAACAACAAAACAAAACAAAAAGUUACCUUCUGUAUGCAGUCAAAUUGACAACCAAGAUUAUCCAUCACAAGUGGGUUAUGAUUCAACUCUAGUUCUACAUCUGGGAGACGGAUGCUAAUGUCUGCCUCACCCCAGUGUCCCUGGAGGGGACAGCGACCUUCACUCUUGCAAGCAGCAGGAUCCAUUUCUCCGCGGUUCCGAUUUGAUUACGGGCUUCACCCAUCAUCUGGCAGGCACCUCUGUACCUCCUGUGACAUGUGGCAUGGGAAGCGUAAUGAACAAUGGCAGGCCCUGGGCUCGCAAGCUUCUGUCCCAUGUGUGAGUCCCACCUCUGUGAAAAUGGAAGAAAAGCAGGGAGCUGUGGCACGAGACCUGCAGCUGAGGCCGGAGCCCUCCACAUCCCUGGAGUGUGUGUUGCUAGUCAGGUAGAAGGACUCCUUAAGGACCAAGGGUCAUUCCUGCCAAGGGACUAACACGUGCUGGCAGCAGAGGGGCCUACGGCUGAGAGUGCAGGCCCUGCUGGAGAAGCUGCUCUGUGGAUGCUCUUCUGGUCUUGGCUGAGUCCACCAGCCCCAGCAUCACGGGUGGAGGGACAUUGUGCGUGGUCAGCAUGGACGUCCUCACCCUACUGAGUGAAUGUCCUAAAACAUUCUUUCCUUUUCUUUCCUGGAAUGUUCUUUCCUUUCUGUUAGCUUCUUUCCUAUCUGUUCAGUGGUCAGAGAUGAAUGUUUUUGGAGAAAGUUGACAUUUCUAGAAAGCUGGUUUUCUCCCACCUAGCCUUAGCUUCCUGACUCAAAACGUUCUUUGGUAUCAACUCCACUGCCUGCUUGUCAGAGGACAAAACCCACUCAAGCCCGUCUCGCACCCUGGGCAUGCAGGGAUGUUUGCUGUAGAAACUACACUAAUGCCCCCUUUCCCCCCCGUGUGGUCCCUGAUUAUUGUAUAAACUUUAGAAACACUAAAAAGACUAAAAGAAGUAAAUAAAAAUUUCCCACAUUUUA